GAUGAACGCUGGCGGCGUGCCUAAUACAUGCAAGUUGAGCGAACGGACGAGAAGCUUGCUUCUCUGAUGUUAGCGGCGGACGGGUGAGUAACACGUGGAUAACCUACCUAUAAGACUGGGAUAACUUCGGGAAACCGGAGCUAAUACCGGAUAAUAUUUUGAACCGCAUGGUUCAAAAGUGAAAGACGGUCUUGCUGUCACUUAUAGAUGGAUCCGCGCUGCAUUAGCUAGUUGGUAAGGUAACGGCUUACCAAGGCAACGAUGCAUAGCCGACCUGAGAGGGUGAUCGGCCACACUGGAACUGAGACACGGUCCAGACUCCUACGGGAGGCAGCAGUAGGGAAUCUUCCGCAAUGGGCGAAAGCCUGACGGAGCAACGCCGCGUGAGUGAUGAAGGUCUUCGGAUCGUAAAACUCUGUUAUUAGGGAAGAACAUAUGUGUAAGUAACUGUGCACAUCUUGACGGUACCUAAUCAGAAAGCCACGGCUAACUACGU
rnacentral:rRNA from 1 species